UACGAAGGGGGCUAGCGUUGCUCGGAAUCACUGGGCGUAAAGCGCACGUAGGCGGAUUGCUAAGUCAGGGGUGAAAUCCUGGAGCUCAGCUCCAGAACUGCCUUUGAUACUGGCGAUCUUGAGUCCGGGAGAGGUGAGUGGAACUCCGAGUGUAGAGGUGAAAUUCGUAGAUAUUCGGAAGAACACCAGUGGCGAAGGCGGCUCACUGGCCCGGUACUGACGCUGAGGUGCGAAAGCGUGGGGAGCAAACAGG
rnacentral:rRNA from 1 species